CGCGUAGGCGGCUUGGCAAGUCAGAUGUGAAAGCCCCGGGCUUAACCCGGGAAUUGCAUCUGAAACUGCUUUGCUUGAGUCCUGGAGGGGAUAGUGGAAUUCCCAGUGUAGCGGUGAAAUGCGUAGAUAUUGGGAGGAACACCUGCGGCGAAGGCGGCUAUCUGGACAGUGACUGACGCUGAGGCGCGAAAGCUAGGGGAGCGAACG
rnacentral:rRNA from 1 species